rnacentral:lncRNA from 1 species
UCCAGGCUUCGAGCUGUCAACACAGAGCCAAACUCAGGGCUUGAACCCACGAACUGUGAGAUCGUGAACUGAGCCAAAGUUGGAUGCUUAACUGGCUGAGUCACCCACGCACCCUAAUGUACAAAACCUUUAAAUUUUGAUGAAGUUCAGUUUAUUUAUUUUUUCUUUUUUUGCAUGGGCUUUUGUGUCAUAUCUAAGGAUCCAUUCUUAAAUCCAAGGCCAUGAAGAUUUACCCCUAUGUUUUCUUUUAAGAGUGACGGUUGACUUUGACUAUAGGACUCUAUGACAGCUUUUUCAACCCUUCCUUAGGCUCCAGGGCAGUCCAGGAUGCUUCCGUCCUAACCUUCCCUCCCCUCUUCACUCAAGAUCAGAUUUGCCUCAUGGUCUGAUAGCCCUCCCAGCCUUCCCUAACUCCUCAAUUUCUCUCACUUCCGUUAACGAUAUUCUUGUACAUUCUUGCCAGUCUUGGUAGUGGCAUCUCAGAGGAUCCAGACUGAAACAAGAUUGAAAUAUUUGUCUAUCUAAAUACUGGGAGAUAUGGCGAAACUUGUCAAUAUUUACCAAAAGUAGUAUCAAUUUCAUUUCCAGGAUUCAAUCUCCAGCAAAACAGGUAAUCAGAGAUGCAAACAAAAUUUAAGCCUAUGUAGGGGGCUGUUCCAAAUAAUCCUAAGUUGUGGUUUAGAGCCUGGCAUUCUGCUGAGCAUCUAGCCGUGGCUGGUGUCCUGAUCUUUUCUUCCAUAUAUUUUAUACAAGUUGUUGUGGUGGGGAGGGAUAGUAACUCUUGGGAGAUUGAGUGCUUUGACGUCUGGGCCAGAGGCUGAUGACAGGGAAGAUGGAGGAAGAUAUACUCUCCCUUUCUGUAUGAGAGGAAGGACGCGGGUUUGCAAAGUCUGUAAUUGUACGUUCAUUUGGGAGACACCCUGAUACCGAACAAAACAAAAAGAAAACACCACCGAAACCAGAAAAAGGCGGUUUUUUUUAAAAUUAAGAUUUCGGAAACAACUCUACUGCGGGUGGUAAUGUAGGUCUUUAGCUCAAGAAGACACAGCACGGAAUAAUUUAACUUUAACCUUUGAGGGUUCUUUUGAAAGCACCGCUUAGAACGCACAC